CAAUUCCAUCAUGCGGGCAAG
rnacentral:miRNA from 1 species